rnacentral:tRNA from 1 species
UUUUACAUAGUUUAAAAAACAUUACACUUUCAUUGUAAAAUUAGACCCAAGUCUUGUAAAUA